rnacentral:rRNA from 1 species
UACGUAGGUGGCAAGCGUUGUCCGGAUUUAUUGGGUUUAAAGGGUGCGUAGGCGGUUCUUUAAGUCAGUGGUGAAAUACAGCCGCUUAACGGUUGAGGUGCCAUUGAUACUGAAGAACUUGAGUACAGUCGAGGUAGGCGGAAUUGACGGUGUAGCGGUGAAAUGCUUAGAUAUCGUCAAGAACACCGAUAGCGAAGGCAGCUUACUAGGCUGUAACUGACGCUGAGGCACGAAGGUGCGGGGAUCAAACAGG